GAUGAACGCUGGCGGCGUGCUUAACAAAUGCAAUUCGAACGGAAAGGCCCAAGCUUGCUUGGGUACUCGAGUGGCGAACGGGUGAGUAACACGUUGGUUAUCUUCCCUACACUUCGGGAUAAGCCUCGGAAACUGGGUCUAAUACCGGAUAGGUCCAUUUCUUGGCUGUUUUGGUUGAAAGUUUUUUCGGUGUGGGAUGAGCUUGCGGCCUAUCAGCUUGCUUGUGGGGUAAUGGCCUACCAAGGCGUCGCCGGGUAGCCGGCCUGAGAGGGUGUACGGCCGCAUUGGGACUGAGAGACGGCACAGACUCCUACGGGAGGGAGCAGUGGGGAAGACUGAACAAUGGGCGCAAGCCUGAUGCAGCGAGGCCGCGUGGGGGAUGACGGCCUUCGGGUUGAAGAAUACUUUCGCUAGGGACGAAGCGUUUUGUGACGGUACCUGGAGAAGAAGCACCGGCUAACUACGUG
rnacentral:rRNA from 1 species